AUCUUCCACCCUGACCCUCCUCUGCAGAAAUGUGCAGAGUGUGAUAAACCAUCAGGGAAACGGCAGAAGAAAUCCAAACAUCUGGAAGUGCAGCAGAGCAGAAAGAGGUCGUUCCUCAGAAUGGACGACCCCUUUGACACUGCAAGUAUAUGCGAUGUGGUCACCGUACCCAUGAAGGUCGUGAAGCUCUCAGAGCCCACCUUGCACUGCAGCUCCUCGCCGGCCAAACCCUACUUGCAGAAGCUGCCCAAGCAGCAGCACCCCCCCAGGCUGCUUGAGUGAUGCCACUGAAUCUGAGCUUUGAGAUGGGCCUCUGCUGCCACGAUGCACCAUCCAAUUGUGUCUCUCUCAGCAGACACAAUGCUGGCUCUCACUCUCAGAUGUGCUGAAGAGACUGAAAACAUCACACGUCUCUCCCAACAACUUCCCCUAUGUGGAAGCACUACCAUCACGGAGGCAGACAUUUACAACCUUCUCUCUGCCAACUGCUCUCUUGUCCUACGGACCUCAGGUGUUUAACACAGAAAGCACAGAGCUCCUGGACUAGACAGAGCUCACAGGUGAGCCCCAGGCUUUGCUGGGCUCCUCUCUUCGCUGCUGGCAUCCACACUAGGAGCUUCCCUUUAUCACCCACCCGUGACUCUUCAAUGCUUUUCAUUAUUGUUUUCAUGUCAUUUCUUUAUAGUGUUGUUUGUACUAGUCAGAGUUACUUCCUUAGGCAUACGUGUUCAAAUUACAUUGUUACUGAAUAGAAAAGGCACUGUUUGAUAUUAAAAUAGCUUUCCUUUUGAAAAGAAAUCAGAAUUGCACGUGGUUUGUUUAGGAGAUAGGAUUGAAGGAGGCACAUGGUUAUGUUGUUGUUGUUCUCAAUAAAAUUAAUUGAAAAUGAGAUGGAUGGAUCGGAUGAUCUCAGUGGUCUUUUCCUACCUCUCUAAGCAAGUCUCAUCCCCAUGGUCUGGGUAACCAAAUAGAUACAAACUGAAAGAUACAUGGCUGAGUGCAUCCCAAGACUGAACACAUCCUGAAAGUAAGCAAAAGAAGUGCUGGGAGAAAGGAUUUCACAGCAGUCCAGCAGGCUGGAGGGAGGGGAGCUGCAGAGGGAGGUCUGAAGUGCUCCUGUCCCAACCAGAGAAACAGCCAGGGCCGUGCAAAGAGGCAGAAGAGCACUGUGGUGCCCAGCCCAGCACAGAAGGGGGCCGAGGAAAGAGCCAGCAUCACCCCGCACUGCACUGCACACCCAUACACGUUCAUGCUCCGAAUUCUAUCCAUUUCCAGGUUAGUAAUGAGCAGAGUUGCCUGAGCAUCGCAGGGGCAUCGUGGGAGCUCUGAAACAAGUACAGGAUCAGCAAGGACGACAUCUGGUAGCCAUCACAGGGAUUUCUGACAGCUCUCAGGUUUGCAAACACAGCUGUGUUACUGCUCUGUGCCUUACGGGGAGUUCUGUUAUUGGAAGAACUAUGGGAAUUGUGGCAAAAUCCUCCAAGCUCACCUCCUGCUUCACAGGUGGGGCCCCCCAGCUACAUUGGAGCAUUCCUGGGUCCACUGCAGUGUGAGCGCACAAAGGUCACUUUCUCAUCCAUGACUCAUUUUCUCCCUCUCUGAAG
ensembl:lncRNA